rnacentral:rRNA from 1 species
GAUGAACGCUGGCGGCGGGCUUAACACAUGCAAGUCGAACGAUGAAGCCCAGCUUGCUGGGUGGAUUAGUGGCGAACGGGUGAGUAACACGUGAGUAACCUGCCCUUGACUCUGGGAUAAGCCUGGGAAACUGGGUCUAAUACUGGAUAUGACUUCUCAUCGCAUGGUGGGGGGUGGAAAGAUUUAUUGGUCUUGGAUGGACUCGCGGCUUAUCAGCUUUUUGGUGGAGUAAUGGCUCACCAAGGCGACGACGGGUAGCCGGCCUUAGAGGGUGACCGGCCACACUGGGACUGAGAGACGGCCCAGACUCCUACGGGAGGCAGCAGUGGGGAAUAUUGCACAAUGGGCGCAAGCCUGAUGCAGCGACGCCGCGUGAGGGAUGACGGCCUGCGGGUUGUAAACCUCUUUCAGUAGAGAAGAAGCGGGAGUGACGGUACCUGCAGAAGAAGCGCCGGCUAACUACGUG